UUAACUGUUGCAGAAGCAAUCUUGAAAGAAGCCUCAAUGCUAAGCUGUCCCGACAACAAACUCAACCCCUUUGCGCUGAACUCGACCACAUUAACUGCUUUGCUCUCCAUUUUAGAAUCACAUCACCAAUGUUCAAGCUCAGUAGAUAAAAUUUAUACACUUUCUCUACUCAAAAUUGAAAGAGAAAAUGACCAAGCCAUGUAUUGUAUUUGUAGUUUGUACCUUGGCUAUGUCAAUGGUUUG